GAUCCUGGCUUAGGAUGAACGCUAGCUACAGGCUUAACACAUGCAAGUCGAGGGGCAGCAUUGGGGUAGCAAUACUCAGAUGGCGACCGGCGCACGGGUGAGUAACACGUAUCCAACCUGCCGCUUACUCGGGGAUAGCCUUUCGAAAGAAAGAUUAAUACCCGAUGGUAUAAAGAGUUCGCAUGUUCUCUUUAUUAAAGAAUUUCGGUAAGCGAUGGGGAUGCGUUCCAUUAGAUAGUUGGCGGGGUAACGGCCCACCAAGUCUACGAUGGAUAGGGGUUCUGAGAGGAAGGUCCCCCACAUUGGAACUGAGACACGGUCCAAACUCCUACGGGAGGCAGCAGUGAGGAAUAUUGGUCAAUGGACGAGAGUCUGAACCAGCCAAAAGUAGCGUGAAGGAUGACUGCCCUAUGGGUUGUAAACUUCUUUUAUAAGGGAAUAAAGUGAGGGACGUGUCCCUUUUUGUAUGUACCUUAUGAAUAAGGAUCGGCUAACUCCGUGCCAGCCGCGGC
rnacentral:rRNA from 1 species